CAGGGCUCUCCAGGAUACAAUGGAAUGUCUAGGGAAGAGCUGCAGAUGUCAUGGAAACUGACAUUGCUUUCCUGAUAAUGAGCUCUCCUCAUAAUACAGUAGAAGUCAAGCUGACCUUUGCAGGAAGCCUCUGCUGGGAUUCAAGGGAAGCCCUUCAGCACCACCUUCUUCCAAAGCCAGAGUUCUCUCCCCAGUUGAUUGGACAUCCUUUCGUUCUUUCGAGGUGUGGAAGCUAAUGUUUAUCUCCUACUGAAAUUUUAUGCACACAAGAUAUUGGGAAUUGGAUCUGAAUUCACUGCCUUGACUAUGAAUUUCAAUUUUAUGCUAUGUCCUUCCUUGAAGGUCAGAAGAAGCUCCUUAAAGCUGAGAGAAAAGUAGCACCUUAAAUUCCAGGUGAACAUCUCUUGCUGGGAACAGAGGAAUCAGAUGCUGAACUUACCAAAAAUGCUGAAAAUGAUGCUUUAGAGCAGAGAAUCACUUCAUUUGGCUGAAAAAUUACAUUUCUCUUCAUGACUGUUACCAAUCAUUGUGUGUAGAUCCUGUCCUUUUACCGUUUGGAAAGACUCACCAGCUAGCUAUUCUUUAUUUAUUAGCCACUUUCAGAUCCUAAAGGCAAAGAAGAUGGAGAGGGAAGGUAGAAGUCAUCAUGUUUGAUCCUAAAUAUAGAGUUGUGUUUGCCUGUUCCAAUCUCAGAAUUCUAAUCCUUAUCUGGCUAAUCUAACAACAAAUAAAUGCCAACUGUGC